AUUGAACGCUGGCGGCAGGCUUAACACAUGCAAGUCGAGCGAGCGGCGGACGGGUGAGUAAUGUCUGGGAAACUGACUGGUGGAGGGGGAUAACUACUGGAAACGGUAGCUAAUACAGCAUACAAUCAGAUGUGCCCAGAUGGGAGUAGCUAGGAGGUGGGGUAAUGGCUCACCUAGGCGACGAUCCCUAGCUGGUCUGAGAGGAUGACCAGCCAAACUGGAACUUAGACACGGUCCAGACUCCUACGGUAGGCAGGAGUGGGGAAUAUUGCACAAUGGGCGAAAGCCUGCUGCAGCCAUGCCGCGUGUAUGAAGAAGGCCUUCGGGUUGUAAAGUACUGUUGUCGGGGAGGCGUUACCCGCAGAAGAAGCACCGGCUAACUCCGUGCCAGCAGCCGCGGUAAUUC
rnacentral:rRNA from 1 species